AAUCGCUCAGAUAAGCUCAUGGUC
rnacentral:siRNA from 1 species